rnacentral:rRNA from 1 species
UACGUAGGGGGCAAGCGUUGUCCGGAGUUACUGGGCGUAAAGGGUGUGUAGGCGGUUGUUUAAGUUUGGUGUGAAAUCUCCCGGCUCAACUGGGAGGGUGCGCCGAAUACUGAAUGACUUGGAGUGCGGGAGAGGAAAGUGGAAUUCCUGGUGUAGCGGUGAAAUGCGUAGAUAUCAGGAGGAACACCGGUGGUGUAGACGGCUUUCUGGACCGUAACUGACGCUGAGACACGAAAGCGUGGGUAGCAAACAGG